GACGAACGCUGGCGGCGUGCUUAGCACAUGCAAGUCGAACGGAAAGGCCCUGCUUUUGUGGGGUGCUCGAGUGGCGAACGGGUGAGUAACACGUGAGUAACCUGCCCUUGACUUUGGGAUAACUUCAGGAAACUGGGGCUAAUACCGGAUAGGAGCUCCUGCUGCAUGGUGGGGGUUGGAAAGUUUCGGCGGUUGGGGAUGGACUCGCGGCUUAUCAGCUUGUUGGUGGGGUAGUGGCUUACCAAGGCUUUGACGGGUAGCCGGCCUGAGAGGGUGACCGGCCACAUUGGGACUGAGAUACGGCCCAGACUCCUACGGGAGGCAGCAGUGGGGAAUAUUGCACAAUGGGCGGAAGCCUGAUGCAGCAACGCCGCGUGCGGGAUGACGGCCUUCGGGUUGUAAACCGCUUUAGCCUGUGACGAAGCGUGAGUGACGGUAAUGGGUAAAGAAGCACCGGCUAACUACGUG
rnacentral:rRNA from 1 species